rnacentral:rRNA from 1 species
GACGAACGCUGGCGGCGUGCUUAACACAUGCAAGUCGAACGGGCCCGCCCCUGUUUUUGGGGGUGGGUUGAGUGGCGAACGGGUGAGUAUCCCGUGAGUAACCUGCCCCCUGCUCCUGGAUAACUGCUUGAAAGGGCGGCUAAUACGGGGUGUGCCGGCUGGUCCGCAUGGGCCUGGUCGGGAUAGUUUCAUCUUCGGGUGUUUCGGUGGGGGAUGGGCUCGCGGCCUAUCAGCUUGUUGGGGGGGUGAUGGCCCACCAAGGCGGUGACGGGUAGCCGGCCUGAGAGGGUGGGCGGCCACACUGGGACUGGGACACGGCCCAGACUCCUGCGGGAGGCAGCAGUGGGGGGUAUUGCACAAUGGGCGGAAGCCUGAUGCAGCGACGUCGCGUGAGGGAUGGAGGCCUUCGGGUGGUGAACCUCUUUCUCCGGUGGUGAAGGCCCUGUCCGUUGCGGCGGGGUUGACGGUAGCCGGGUAUGAAGCGCCGGCUAACUACGUG